rnacentral:rRNA from 1 species
UACGGAGGGUGCAAGCGUUAAUCGGAAUUACUGGGCGUAAAGCGCACGCAGGCGGUCAGUUAAGUCAGAUGUGAAAUCCCCGGGCUCAACCUGGGAAUUGCAUUUGAAACUGGCAAGCUAGAGUCUUGUAGAGGGGGGUAGAAUUCCAUGUGUAGCGGUGAAAUGCAUAGAGAUCUGGAGGAAUACCGGUGGCGAAGGCGGCCCCCUGGACAAAGACUGACGCUCAGGUGCGAAAGCGUGGGGAGCAAACAGG